AACGCGAAGAACCUUACCAGGUCUUGACAUCCUCUGACAAUCCUAGAGAUAGGACGUUCCCCUUCGGGGGACAGAGUGACAGGUGGUGCAUGGUUGUCGUCAGCUCGUGUCGUGAGAUGUUGGGUUAAGUCCCGCAACGAGCGCAACCCUUGUCCUUAGUUGCCAGCAUUUAGUUGGGCACUCUAAGGAGACUGCCGGUGACAAACCGGAGGAAGGUGGGGAUGACGUCAAAUCAUCAUGCCCCUUAUGACCUGGGCUACACACGUGCUACAAUGGAUGGUACAAAGGGUUGCGAGACCGCGAGGUUUAGCCAAUCCCAUAAAACCAUUCUCAGUUCGGAUUGUAGGCUGCAACUCGCCUACAUGAAGCCGGAAUCGCUAGUAAUCGUGGAUCAGCAUGCCACGGUGAAUACGUUCCCGGGCCUUGUA
rnacentral:rRNA from 1 species